GCUCCGUAAAUACUACUGAGUGAAUGAGGGCCGGAGAGGGCAGUCAGGGUAUAAAGGCAUAAGGAAAACCUAAUCGGGAUCAGUUGCGAUCGAAGAAGGACCAUUCGUAAAUUCAAAAGCCAGCUUAUAGCUUUGAAUAAGUCAGCAUGAGGUCACUGAGGCACAGAGAAGUUAAAUGACUUGCCC